AACGAACGCUGGCGGCAGGCCUAACACAUGCAAGUCGAGCGCGCCCUUCGGGGUGAGCGGCGGACGGGGGAGUAACGCGUGGGAACGUGCCCUUUUCUACGGAAUAGCCUCGGGAAACUGAGAGUAAUACCGUAUACGCCCUUUGGGGGAAAGAUUUCUCGGAAAAGGAUCGGCCCGCGUUGGAUUAGGUAGUUGGUGGGGUAAUGGCCUACCAAGCCGACGAUCCAUAGCUGGGUUGAGAGGAUGAUCAGCCACACUGGGACUGAGACACGGCCCAGACUCCUACGGGAGGCAGCAGUGGGUAAUCUUAGACAAUGGGGGCAACCCUGAUCUAGCCAUGCCGCGUGAGUGAUUAAGGCCUUAGGGUUGUAAAGCUCUUUCAGCUGGGAAGAUAAUGACGGUACCAGCAGAAGAAGCCCCGGCUAACUCCGUG
rnacentral:rRNA from 1 species